rnacentral:rRNA from 1 species
UGGCCCUCCGCCGCCGCGAUCCGCCGUCCGCCGUCGGCGUCGGCGCCGCAGCUGGAGGACGAGAACCAAGGCCGGGAGCUUGUGUUCACCCCCCUUCUCGACGCUCCCGACCGCAUCCCGCGGGAGCGCUUCUCGCUGCGGCCCGGCGACGAGAUCGAUUUCUGGGGUCUGCUCGGGUGCCGCCAUGGACGUGUCCUCUUCAUCAGCACGUUUCGUCGUGCGCUCCUUGUGCUCGACCCCGUCAACAGCGACCGCCUGCGCGUGGCAAUGCUGCUGGAUUUGGUCCGGUAUGUCUUCGGUGGAGCCGUGGUCUGCGCAGCCGGCGACGACCAGGGCCACGUGCACGGAGACUGCCAUUCGAGCCCCUUUAAGGUGGUCCUGGUAGGCACCAGAGAGCACCACCCAGCCAUAGCCUGGGUCUACUCCUCCGAGACCGGCAUGUGGAGCAAUCUUGUCUUGACCAUGGAACCAUGCGACGGUCUGAUUGACGUCCAUUUCCCCUGUACCCUUGUCGACAAUGUCCUUUAUUGGUGGUUGUAUGGGCAUGACAAUGGCAUACUCGAGUUCGAUCUGCAUACCCAGACACUAGCUGUGACCGAGGGGCCUUCCCGUGCGGACAUCAACUCUAUCAACAGCCGGAUCAUCAGGGGAGAGGAUGGCGGUGUUGGCGUCGCAGUAUUUUCGUAUCUGAGCUUGAAACUGUGGAAACGCAAGGUCAGUAGUCAGGGUAUUCACACAUGGGUGCUGCAGCAGAUUGUUGUCUUCCACAAGAUCAUUGAUCUUACACAUCAGAUCAAGACAAGGAAGGAAGCUAUAGUGGGGUACUCAGAGGAUGCAGGUGCGGAUCUUAUAUCGGUGCCUUGCUGUAUAGGUAUCAGGACAGGGAAGGAAGCUAUAGUGGGGUACUCAGAGGAUGCGCAUGUGCUUUUUAUAAAGGUGUCUUGCUGUUCAGGACCCCAUACCUUCAUUGUUGAACUUGAGUCAAUGCAGUCCAGGAAAAUUAAUCAAAGUUUUUUGGAGAAUUCCUAUCAUCCGUUCACAAAUUUCUUCACUGCAGUUGUGCGAAGGUUUGCACACAUUCUAUACAAACUCAUUGCAAGGAACCUCAUGGUGUGCCGUGUGCCCACGCCAGGAACC